UGGGAAACGGGUCAAGAUUCCCGUACCGGUUGUGAAUGCGAUGGGGGGACGGAGAAGGGUAGCUCAGCGGCCUGUUGGAAUAGGUCGUUUAAGCGUGUAGGAGUGGUCUCCUGGCAAAUCCGGAGAUCUUAUCUGAGGCGUGAUGACGAAGGUCUACGGACCUGAAGUGAGUAAUCCCAAGCUUCCAGGAAAAGCCUCUAAGCUUCAGUUCACAACUGACCGUACCGCAAACCGACACAGGUGGGUAGGUAGAGAAUACCAAGGCGCUUGAGAGAACUCGGGUUAAGGAACUCGGCAAA
rnacentral:rRNA from 1 species